GCCCCCUUAGUCUAGAGGCCCAGGACACCGCCCUUUCACGGCAAUAACAGGGGUUCGAAUCCCCUAGGGGACGCCA
rnacentral:tRNA from 1 species